CCAACAACAGUCUGGCAAAAAAAAAAAAAAACCAGGAUCUUUUCAGCUAAGUGCUAAUAUUAUUCUUGUUUUACAGGGUGAACACUGAGGCUUAGAGAAGGUAAAUAACUUGCCCAAAAUCUGGAAAAGUUUGCCAACCCCUGGUCUUACUCCUCAUUAAGGUUUCCCUUCCCCUCCACCAUUCCCAAAUCUGAGUAUUCCAGAAGAGUUACCUUUUUUUUAAUGAUACAACUGUUUUGCAGGCCUAGGACUUCUGCAGAGGUGGCGCCCGCCCGUAAUCCCAGCACUUCGGGAGGCCGAGACUGGUGGAUCGCUUGAGCCCAGGAGUUUGAGACCAGCCAGGGCAACAUGGCGAAACCCCAUCUCUACAACAAAUACAAAAAUUAGCUGGGCAUGGUGGCACACGCCUGUGAUCCCAGUUACUCGGGAGGUGGAGGUGGAAGGAUCCCCUGAGCCUCUGGAGAUGGAGUUUGCAGUGAGCUGUGAUUGCGCCACUGCACUCCAGCCUGGGCGACAGAGUGAGACGCUGUCUGAAAACAAAACAAAACAAAAGAAUUCUGCAAGAACUUAUAACAGGCGCAUCCCUGGGAGCAUUAUCCACCACGGGACUAGGCACUGGGUAGCCUGUAAAAUAAAGUAAGAGCCGUCUCUGUACCCAGAAAAUUUACCAUCAUUUUGUAUUGGAAAGACAUGCCCUAGAAAACAAUAGAAAGCACGACUGUACGUGAUUCGAUGCCAAAUGACUGCUAGGAAUUCUUUUAUUAAUCCAUUCAACAAAUAUUUAUUGAGUAACCACUAUUAGCCAGCCACCGUUUUCCAUGCUGAGGACACAAAAAUGAGUGAGACAAGGUCUCUACCAUCAAAAAACGAACAGACCAGUGAGGAAAGACAGAUGUGUCAAGAAAGGCUUUGCAGGCUGAGCGCGGUGGCUCACGCCUGUAAU